rnacentral:rRNA from 1 species
GAUGAACGCUGGCGGCGUGCCUAAUACAUGCAAGUCGAACGCACAGCGAAAGGUGCUUGCACCUUUCAAGUGAGUGGCGAACGGGCGAGUAACACGUGGACAACCUGCCUCAAGGCUGGGGAUAACAUUUGGAAACAGAUGCUAAUACCGAAUAAAACUUAGUGUCGCAUGACACAAAGUUAAAAGGCGCUUCGGCGUCACCUAGAGAUGGAUCCGCGGUGCAUUAGUUAGUUGGUGGGGUAAAGGCCUACCAAGACAAUGAUGCAUAGCCGAGUUGAGAGACUGAUCGGCCACAUUGGGACUGAGACACGGCCCAAACUCCUACGGGAGGCUGCAGUAGGGAAUCUUCCACAAUGGGCGAAAGCCUGAUGGAGCAACGCCGCGUGUGUGAUGAAGGCUUUCGGGUCGUAAAGCACUGUUGUAUGGGAAGAACAGCUAGAAUAGGAAAUGAUUUUAGUUUGACGGUACCAUACCAGAAAGGGACGGCUAAAUACGUG